UAAGGAAUAUUGGUCAAUGGACGCAAGUCUGAACCAGCCAUGCCGCGUGGAGGAUUAAGGCCCUCUGGGUUGUAAACUCCUUUUAUCUGGGAAGAAAUGUACUUUUUCUUGAGUACUUGACGGUACCAGAGGAAUAAGCACCGACUAACUCCGUGCCAGCAGCCGCGGUAAUACGGAGGGUGCAAGCGUUAUCCGGAUUCACUGGGUUUAAAGGGUGCGUAGGUGGGCAGGUAAGUCAGUGGUGAAAUCUCCGGGCUUAACCCGGAAACUGCCGUUGAUACUAUUUGUCUUGAAUAUUGUGGAGGUAAGCGGAAUAUGUCAUGUAGCGGUGAAAUGCUUAGAUAUGACAUAGAACACCAAUUGCGAAGGCAGCUUACUACACAAUCAUUGACGCUGAGGCACGAAAGCGUGGGG
rnacentral:rRNA from 1 species